rnacentral:lncRNA from 1 species
ACUUCCGGAUUGGAAGCCCCAAGGAUUCUGAGAGCCCCGCUAAUCUGGGGAUGACUCCUAGGAGUAGAAGACGGUCCAUCUUAGUUGUCACGAGUAUCUCACUUCUUGGAAUCCGGCGGCGUUCACGUGUGUGCUCCAGAGAAGGGCGCCAGAGGGUAUUCCCUGAAAGUGAAAGGUCGGCGAAAGAGGAGUAAAGACGGCGAGACGCGUCCACGCAGGGGGAGUCUGUGCGGUUUGGAGGAACGCGCCAAUGUCUGCACUCAUGAGGAGCCCCCAAGGGCGGUUUUAAGAGGGUGAAGCAGGACCGGGCGCAGUGACUUACGCCUGUAAUCUAAGUGCUUUGGAAGGCCUAGGCAGGAGGAUCUCGAGCCCAGGAGUUCGAGAUUAGCCUGAGACCUCAUCGCUACCAAAAUAAAUAAAGUAGGCAUCCAUUUGUGUAAAACAAACCAUAUAUACACACAUAUAUACAUAUAUAAACAUUUGUAUAUAUAGGUAUAGGCAUAGUUAUCUAUACCUUGUAAACCAAAAAUAAAAUUGUAAGCCUCCCCAACCAACUGA